UCGGCUCCUAGGGGAGUUGCAGGUGUGGCGGCUGUGUCAUAUGUGUGUCAGUAGGUGGCAGAGAGGACAGAAGCUGCAGCUGUGCUCAGUGUUCUGACCUGUGAACAUCUGAAUGAUUAGUGACCUACCAUU